rnacentral:ncRNA from 1 species
AGCAUCGUUUUCUUGGGGCUGCGCUGCUGUCCAAUGAGCGCCUGGUAAGGGCGGGACUGCCGGCGCCUAAACAACACACCCGCGUCGACUAGAGCUUUGCUUUACCUUGGUGCAGCUUUUACCCAC